GACGAACGCUGGCGGCGUGCCUAAUACAUGCAAGUGGAGCGCUGAAGGUUGGUACUUGUACCAACUGGAUGAGCAGCGAACGGGUGAGUAACGCGUGGGGAAUCUGCCUUUGAUCGGGGGACAACAUUUGGAAACGAAUGCUAAUACCGCAUAAAAACUUUAAACACAAGUUUUAAGUUUGAAAGAUGCAAUUGCAUCACUCAAAGAUGAUCCCGCGUUGUAUUAGCUAGUUGGUGAGGUAAAGGCUCACCAAGGCGAUGAUACAUAGCCGACCUGAGAGGGUGAUCGGCCACAUUGGGACUGAGACACGGCCCAAACUCCUACGGGAGGCAGCAGUAGGGAAUCUUCGGCAAUGGACGAAAGUCUGACCGAGCAACGCCGCGUGAGUGAAGAAGGUUUUCGGAUCGUAAAACUCUGUUGGUAGAGAAGAACGUUGGUGAGAGUGGAAAGCUCAUCAAGUGACGGUAACUACCCAGAAAGGGACGGCUAACUACGUG
rnacentral:rRNA from 1 species